UUUGAUUGUGUUAAUCGAAUUACCGACAACACCUAGGUCUUUUAUAAUGGUAUAUCGUUAAAUAUAUUGAUUUCCUAACGUAUAUACUAUGGCCUUGGUUCCAAGCUUUCAUUUUUGUGUUAUUACAGGAGCAAAAAUCUAAAAAAUAUGGUUAUUGGAUGUCCAAAGACCAGUGACAGUGACUUGAAAUGCAAGAAGGUAUAUUAAAUCUAAUUUCCUGCCAUUUUACACUUGUAGUAGCUUAACUUUAAUCGAAUGAACUUUUUAAAAGAGAAAUAUGAGUUGCAAAAUAAUAGUUAUAUUGAACUUGUAAGGGUACAUUUUCCAUGACUUAAAGAACAAGUAAAUUCAUCUGAUUUAUCUUAAUAAUCAAGGUACUGAUUUUCAAGAGUCUAAUUUAUUUUCCAUCGUCUUCCUUUUGAACUUAACAUAUAUCUCUUUGUAUGCGUGUUGGCAAAAAAACAAAGCCCACAAGCUCUCCAUCAGAACAACAGAGUCGAAAAAAGAAGUAAUCCUCGUUGUACAAAUUUGGAAACCUGUGAAGAUAUUGUAUUCUUUAUCGUACUUCCAUGUGUUUGCUCAAUGUUUCUUCCUUUAUUUAUUUGUCUUACUUUUUGCUCCUACACAGGGGUAUAAAUAUUAAAAGAUUUGUAUCAUCUUUAGAUUUUUGACCUUUUUGGUUUCUGUCUCUGUGUCCUAUUUGGGUAGUCUCCACAUGUG
rnacentral:lncRNA from 1 species